rnacentral:rRNA from 1 species
AUUCUCAGUUCGGAUUGUAGGCUGAAACUCGUCUACAUGAAGCUGGAGUUACUAGUAAUCGCAGAUCAGAAUGCUGCGGUGAAUGCGUUCCCGGGUCUUGUACACACCGCCCGUCACACCACGGAAGUUGGGGGCGCCCGAAGCCACUUAGCUAACCCAUUUGGGAAGCGAGUGUCGAAGGUGAAAUCAAUAACUGGGGUGAAGUCGUAACAAGGUAGC